rnacentral:rRNA from 1 species
GACGAACGCUGGCGGCGUGCUUAACACAUGCAAGUCGAACGGUAAGGCCCUUCGGGGUACACGAGUGGCGAACGGGUGAGUAACACGUGGGUGAUCUGCCCUGCACUUCGGGAUAAGCCUGGGAAACUGGGUCUAAUACCGGAUAGGACCCUGGGAUGCAUGUCCUGGGGUGGAAAGCUUUUGCGGUGUGGGAUGGGCCCGCGGCCUAUCAGCUUGUUGGUGGGGUGUUGGCCUACCAAGGCGACGACGGGUAGCCGGCCUGAGAGGGUGACCGGCCACACUGGGACUGAGAUACGGCCCAGACUCCUACGGGAGGCAGCAGUGGGGAAUAUUGCACAAUGGGCGCAAGCCUGAUGCAGCGACGCCGCGUGAGGGAUGACGGCCUUCGGGUUGUAAACCUCUUUCAGCACCGACGAAGCGCAAGUGACGGUAGGUGCAGAAGAAGGACCGGCCAACUACGUGCCAGCAGCCGCCGCAG